CCAAAGGAGUUUUUAAACUCCACAAACAAUGUUAAGGGGUUGACA
rfam:Gossypium raimondii Chr01_contig_983, whole genome shotgun sequence.